rnacentral:rRNA from 1 species
CAAUAGCGUAUAUUAUUGAUGUUGCAGUUGAAACGUUCGUAGUCGAACUUCGCCCACUUAAGCUUAGCGCUGUCGAUGAUGGUACUUGGCUAUCAGUGGGGAGAGUGCAGUGGUGUGUGAGUUUCUCGCACGUCAUCUUGCGCCUUACUUUGAGUGAAUCGGUGUGUUCCACGCAGGCUUGCGCCAUAAACGAUUUACCAUAGCAUAAUCAGAGUAUGAGGGCGCUUCCUUGCUAGCUCGGAAGCAUCUUUUAUACAGAAAAGAACGGUUGAGGGCAUUCGUAUUCAACUGCUAGAGGUGAAAUUCUUUGAUUAGUUGAGGACGAACCAUUGCGAAAGCAUCUGCCAAGGACGUUUCUUUUGAU